rnacentral:lncRNA from 1 species
AAGGAUAGCCAAGAAACAGAUACUUACAAAAAAUUGAAUAAGAAUGAACCAAAUAUAUUGCUCUUACACAUGAUAAACAAACCAAGAAUUGUAUGGUACCUCUAGUGAGCCUCAAGGAACAACUAAUUGGAAGUUCUAUAAAAUCCAGGAUUACAGGUAACCUCCUCAACCUGCUUACUUUGAGACUGCAGUGGCAUUUGCAGACAACGUCAUAAAAAAUUCUGCAGCUAAUAAAAGUUUUGACUCUUCUCAUACCAUCAAAGAAAAAAAGAAUAGAAAGGGAUAACUAUAAAUAUUAGAAAGCAGAGAACCAUAACUAGAAGCACGCGACUUAAGCUCUAUAAAGAGAAUAAAUAGUCACAUAAGUUUGCAAAAUCACAUUCUUUCUUCAUUUGCGUAAUGAGUCCAUUGGUGAAUUUGGACGUUAAAACAGUAUCAGUGAAAAUCAGAUAAGAACAAAUAGAAUACGCAAUUUGAUAACAAACUCAUCUAACAAUAACAAAAGGUCACUUAUUUACUUAAAUAUCGAACCAUAUUAACAAAUAAGAAUCAUAACGUGAUUGGUCUCCAGAAGCACAUUAGUAUCUCCACCCCCCCUUCUUUUAAAAAGUAAUUCUACCCUGUCUCAAUUAGAAAUUGAAAAUCUACUAUGUUAGUUAGCACAAAUUGUUUCCUCCAUUUUCCAAUCCUUUCAGUUAGAACUUCAGAUAUCAUAAGCAAUCAAUAGAUAAUCAUUCAUAAAAUACGGCUAAAUCAUACAAGUAGUAAAGAAUUGAGAAUGCAUCCACUGAAGAAAGCUCACAAAUCUUUCUUUUUUUGGGGGGGUGGUUUCCAAUUUUUCCAUAGUUCUCAUCACUUUCUGACAAAUUUGUAAACCACAAGUUACUCCUCUUUUUCUCUUUCCUAAUCUAACAUUAUUAAUCAAAUAAAAUGCAAUGAAUUUGUUCAAUGACUUUAUCACAACUUCAUGAAAUAAUUUCAAAACAACUCCUAGUCUAGAAGUUCACUGAAAAUGUAAAAUAUCUCUUCUGCAAUGUUAAAAAUUUGUAUACAGUUGAGCUAUUGAAAAGCUACUCUUGAAUUCCGGAGUAUGCCAGAACAAUCAUUUUCAAGAUGAAGAUACAACUCCUCAUAGAUGGAAAGCAAAAUCCUAGUCCCACCUAACAUUUCCAUAUAUAUUAAAUUGAUAAAUUACCGUCAAAGCACAAGGGUUACAGUCAAU